AAGGUUUUCCCAAGUCUUUUACUUAUGGUUUUCAUAUAUUAUGGUUGUUUGAACAUUUGGUUGCAUGGGAAUGGUUAAUUGGUAUAUUGUUCUGGCUUAGGAAGCACUAUUUCCCCCAUAUGUUUGAUAAAAUGCCGAUAAGAAUGUUUUUGGUUAAAUUGCUGGACUUUCAUUGAACUAUGCAUAGUAUAACAUGUUAAUGGAACCCUAAAUGGUAUAAAUGGUUUAAAUGGUUUGGAAUUGUUAAAUGAUAAGGUUUUGGUGGUUAUGGUUGGUCUAAUUGAAAGCCUUGUGGGAUACAAGGGAAUCCCCCA
rnacentral:lncRNA from 1 species